CGCUCUGAGCUCGGCUAGGAUCCGGCUCUACUGUUAUUGGCUAAAUCUCUCCCUCUGGUUGGUUCUGUUCUCAUGAUCCAUUCCUUCUCCAUCUCCCCAGGGCCUCAACCAUCUGCACAAGAGUCGGGUCAUACACAGAGACAUUAAAAGCUUGAACAUCAUGCUGACCGACCAGGCCAAAGUAAAACUGAUUGAUUUCGGUCUCUGUUUCCAACUGGACCCGACGGCCGGCAAGUGCAGCGAGUGCGAUGGAACGCCGCAUUGGAUGGCGCCCGAGGCCAUAAGCAUCCGGCGGAGCCCGGUGGCAUAUGACACCAAAAGCGACAUCUGGUCACUGGGCAUAACCGCCGUAGAAAUGGCCGAGGGAGAACCACGUAAGU